ACUGCUCAGUAACACGUGGGUAACCUGCCCUAUGCUGGAUAAUAACCUCGGGAAACUGAGAAUAAUGAUCUAUAGUUCACUACGCCUGGAACGGUGAGUGGAUGAAAGCCCCGGCGGCAUAGGAUGGGCCUGCGGCGUAUCAGGUUGUAGGGGGUGUAAUGUACCCUCUAGCCCUCUACGCGUACGGGUGUUGAGAGACAUCGCCCGGAGAUGGAUUCUGAGACACGAAUCCAGACCCUACGGGGUGCAGCAGGCGCGAAAACUUGGCAAUGCGAGAAAUCGUGACCAGGGAACUCCAAGUGCAUGGGGUAAGACCUAUGCUUUUCUAGACUCUAAAAAGGUCUUGGAAUAAGAGGUGGGUAAGGACGGUGCCAGCCGCCGCGGUAAUACCGGCGCCUCAAGUGGUAGUCGCUUUUAUUGGGCCUAAAACGUCCGUAGCCGGUCUGAUACAUUCGUGGGUAAAUCAACCAGCUUAACUGGUUGAAUUCUGCGAGGACGGUCAGACUUGGGACCGGGAGAGGUGUGGGGUACGCUCAGGGUAGGGGUAAAAUCCUGUCAUCCUGAGCGGACCACCUGUUGCGAAGGCGCCACACUAGAACGGAUCCGACGGUCAGGGACGAAGCCUAGGGGCACGAACCGGAUUAGAUACCCGGGUAGUCCUAGGUGUAAACGCUGUGGACUUGAUGUUGGGGGUGCUCCGAGCACUCUCAGUGUCGAAGCGAAGGCGAUAAGUCCACUGCCUGGGAAGUACGGUCGCAAGGCUGAAACUUAAAGGAAUUGGCGGGGGAGCA
rnacentral:rRNA from 1 species